rnacentral:rRNA from 1 species
AUUGAACGCUGGCGGCAUGCCUUACACAUGCAAGUCGAACGGUAACGGGCCUUCGGGUGCCGACGAGUGGCGAACGGGUGAAUAAUACAUCGGAACGUGCCCGAUCGUGGGGGAUAACGAGGCGAAAGCUUUGCUAAUACCGCAUACGAUCUACGGAUGAAAGCAGGGGACCGCAAGGCCUUGCGCGGACGGAGCGGCCGAUGGCAGAUUAGGUAGUUGGUGGGGUAAAAGCUUACCAAGCCGACGAUCUGUACCUGGUCUGUGAGGAGGAUCAGCCACACUUGGACUGAGACACGGCUCAGAAUCUUACGGGAGGCAGCAGUGGGGAAUUUUGGACAAUGAGCGCAAGGCUGGUCCGGCCAUGCCGCGUGCAGGAUGAGGGCCUUCGGGUUGUAAACUGCUUUUGUACGGAACGAAAAGCCUUCUUCUAAUACAGGAGGGUCAUGACGGUACCGUAAGAAUAAGCACCGGCUAACUACGUGCCAGCCGCCGCCGUAA